GUGGUAAUGCCGGAUGCUCCAGUUGAUCGCAUGGUCUUCUGGGAAAGCUUUCGCGGUAUGGGAUGGGGUCGCGUCCUAUCAGCUUGACGGCGGGGUAACGGCCCACCGUGGCUUCGACGGGUAGCCGGCCUGAGAGGGCGACCGGCCACAUUGGGACUGAGAUACGGCCCAGACUCCUACGGGAGGCAGCAGUGGGGAAUAUUGCACAAUGGGCGCAAGCCUGAUGCAGCGACGCCGCGUGAGGGAUGGAGGCCUUCGGGUUGUAAACCUCUUUUAUCGGGGAGCAAGCGAGAGUGAGUUUACCCGUUGAAUAAGCACCGGCUAACUACGUGCCAGCAGCCGCGGUAAUACGUAGGGUGCAAGCGUUAUCCGGAAUUAUUGGGCGUAAAGGGCUCGUAGGCGGUUCGUCGCGUCCGGUGUGAAAGUCCAUCGCUUAACGGUGGAUCUGCGCCGGGUACGGGCGGGCUGGAGUGCGGUAGGGGAGACUGGAAUUCCCGGUGUAACGGUGGAAUGUGUAGAUAUCGGA
rnacentral:rRNA from 1 species